GGUUACAGCAGGAAUGGCAAUUUAAGGUGUGAGACUUCCAGGGUCUCUGAGAUUGUCAAGGAUCCUCUGGAAAUGUCACCACUAAAAGCCAGAGAGCUACAGGAAAUGGACUAAAGCCAGCAGAUUGGGAGAAGAUGGAGAAGGCUCCACACACGGUCCCUCUUGAGAUGCCUGAGACGAUCAAACAAACCACUGCCUGGAUUGAACCAGUGACUCGGGAGUGAGAAAGAGCAAGUGGAAUCAAGAGAUACUUUGGUGGCAUGCAAAGCAGAAGCAGCAAGUGGGAAUGAGAGACAGAGAGGCAGGCACCCGGGAAGAAGGCAGCCAGAGGCUGGGGUCUGAAGCAGCGCAAGCCAGCGGGAGCGAUGCUGAUCUGAGACGACAGUUCUGACACACGUGAAGGAUAUCUAGAUCCUGUUCGUUGAGUAUAUAUGAAGCAAGGAAUUCCUACCAUGUACACAGCAGAG